rnacentral:rRNA from 1 species
AAAUGAAUUGACGGGCCCCGCACAAGCAGCGGAGCGUGUGGUUUAAUUCGAUGCUACACGAAGAACCUUACCAGGGUUUGACAUACAAGUAGUAGGGAAGGAAACUGGACCGACCCUUCGGGAGCUUGUACAGGUGCUGCAUGGCUGUCGUCAGCUCGUGUCGUGAGAUGUUGGGUUAAGUCCCGCAACGAGCGCAACCCUUGUCAUUAGUUGCCAUCUAUUGGUUGGGCACUCUAAUGAGACUGCCGGUGACAAGCCGGAGGAAGGUGGGGAUGACGUCAAGUCCUCAUGGCCCUUAUAGGUGGGGCUACACACGUCAUACAAUGGCUGGUACAAAGGGUUGCCAACCCGCGAGGGGGAGCCAAUCCCAUAAAGCCAGUCGUAGUCCGGAUCGUAGUCUGCAACUCGACUACGUGAAGUCGGAAUCGCUAGUAAUCGUGGAUCAGAAUGUCACGGUGAAUACGUUCCCGGGUCUU